rnacentral:rRNA from 1 species
AGCGAACGCUGGCGGCAGGCCUAACACAUGCAAGUCGAACGACGUCUUCGGACUCAGUGGCGGACGGGUGAGUAACACGUGGGAACGUGCCCUUUGGUACGGAAUAACUCAGGGAAACUUGAGCUAAUACCGUAUGUGCCCUUCGGGGGAAAGAUUUAUCGCCAUUGGAGCGGCCCGCGUCUGAUUAGCUAGUUGGUGAGGUAAAGGCUCACCAAGGCGACGAUCAGGAGCUGGUCUGAGAGGAUGAUCAGCCACAUUGGGACUGAGACACGGCCCAAACUCCUACGGGAGGCAGCAGUGGGGAAUCUUGCGCAAUGGGCGAAAGCCUGACGCAGCCAUGCCGCGUGAAUGAUGAAGGUCUUAGGAUUGUAAAAUUCUUUCACCGGGGACGAUAAUGACGGUACCCGGAGAAGAAGCCCCGGUUAACUUCGUGCCAGCAGCCGCCGUAACAC